AUGAACGCUAGCUACAGGCUUAACACAUGCAAGUCGAGGGGAAACGGCAUCGAUAGCUUGCUUUUGAUGGGCGUCGACCGGCGCACGGGUGAGUAACGCGUAUCCAACCUGCCCAUCACUUGGGAAUAACCUUGCGGAAGUAAGACUAAUGUCCAAUGACAUCCCACGAAGGCAUCCGAAUGGGAUUAAAGAUUUAUCGGUGAUGGAUGGGGAUGCGUCGGAUUAGCUUGUUGGCGGGGUGACGGCCCACCAAGGCAACUAUCAGUAGGGGUUCUGAGAGGAAGGUCCCCCAGAUUGGAACUGAGACACGGUCCAAACUACUACGGGAGGAAGCAGUGAGGAAUAUUGGUCAAUGGGCGAGAGCCUGAACCAGCCAAGUAGCGUGCAGGAUGACGGCCCUAUGGGUUGUAAACUGCUUUUAUAAGGGAAUAAAGUGGGUCACGUGUGACUUUUUGCAUGUACCUUAUGAAUAAGAACCGGCUAAUUCCGUG
rnacentral:rRNA from 1 species